UAUUGCAAGUUAUGGAAAGGGAGUCUCUUCUCCAGUUCUACUCCACCGCUCCUCUCCAGUUCUACUCCACCGCUCCGAACUCUCCAAGACUCCAUCGCGCGAAACAACAGAACCAACUCUCCAAACUCCAUUUUGCCUCCCGCAAAAGGAGCAAAUUUAGUAAAAUUCCUGUUGGCAGUUGGGCUCGUGUCAAGAAUGGGAAGUAUAGAGUUGAACUUGUGCAGAUUCCACCGAUCUUAAGAAUUCUCUCACUGGAACAAAGGUUUUGUAUUGGAACACCUGACUGUGCGGCUAAUGUGACUUGUUUAUAUACUGAGGUUUAUGGAGAUGGAAGUUAUAGUCUUGGCUACUUUGUGAAAGAUCUUGUCCAAUAUGAUGGUGUAUCAGAAGAUCUGCAAACUAUGACAACAAACCAAAGUUUUAUAUUUGGAUGUGGUGCGAGUCAAUCUGGCUAUCUAGAUUCGUCUGAACAUGCUCUUGAUGGAAUAGUUGGUUUUGGGAAAUCAAACUCUUCCUUUAUAUCCCAACUUGCUGCUUCUGGGACAGUGAAAAAGAUUUUUGCACAUUGUUUGGAUGGUGUGAAUGGUGGAGGUAUUUUUUCAAUUGGGCAUGUUUUGCAGCCAAAAGUCAACACGACUCGUUUAUUACUAAACAAGCCACAUUACAAUGUUAAUAUGACAGCAGUUCAAGUUGGGUCUGAAUUUCUUAAUCUAACAACAAAUGUAUCACAUGCUGGAGACUAUAAAGAGUCAAUAAUUGAUAGUGGUACAACUUUGGCUUACUUCCCAGAUGUUAUAUACCAGGCAUUAGUGAAGAAGAUUCCCUGGUAGCUUGAUAUAAAGUUACAAACCCUUCAUGAGCAGUGUACAUGCUUUCAGCACCCUGGAAGUGUGGAUGAUGAUUUUCCUGCUGUCACCUUUUAUUUUGAAAAUUCAGUUCUCUUGAAAGUGUAUCCUAAUUAGUAUCUCUUCCUCUUUAUUGGAUGGCAGGAGUGGGUACAUCUUUAGGAAUGUGUACAUCAACAGAUGGAGAAAGAUGGGUUGCUGGUGGUAUAUCCACAGAAAGGUGAUCUUAUUUUUUAGGUUAGUUAGGUCUUUGGUUAAUGUAAAAUUGUUUUUCUAAUUUUUUUUUACUGAAUAACUCUUUGGAAAUCAAAUAAUACUUAUUGGGGUCCAAUUAUUAAUUGACCAUCUC